rnacentral:rRNA from 1 species
CACGGGGGGAGCAAGCGUUGUUCGGAAUCACUGGGCGUAAAGGGCGUGUAGGCGGUCAAGUAAGUGGAAUGUGAAAGCCCCCGGCUUACCCGGGGAUCUGCAUCCCAAACUGCUUGGCUUGAGUACGGGAGAGGAUAGGGGAAUUCCUGGUGUAGCGGUGAAAUGCGUAGAUAUCAGGAGGAACACCGGUGGCGAAGGCGCCUAUCUGGCCCGAUACUGACGCUGAGACACGAAAGCGUGGGUAGCAAACAGG